GACGAACGCUGGCGGCGUGCUUAACACAUGCAAGUCGAACGGAAAGGCCCCUUUGGGGGUACUCGAGUGGCGAACGGGUGAGUAACACGUGAGUAACCUGCCCUUGACUUCGGGAUAACUUCAGGAAACUGGGGCUAAUACCGGAUAGGAAUCCUUGCUGCAUGGUGGGGGUUGGAAAGCUUCGGCGGUUUUGGAUGGACUCUCGGCUUAUCAGCUUGUUGGUGGGGUAGUGGCUUACCAAGGCUUUGACGGGUAGCCGGCCUGAGAGGGCGACCGGCCACAUUGGGACUGAGAUACGGCCCAGACUCCUACGGGAGGCAGCAGUGGGGAAUAUUGCACAAUGGGCGGAAGCCUGAUGCAGCAACGCCGCGUGCGGGAUGACGGACUUCGGGUUGUAAACCGCUUUCAGCAGGGGCGAAGCUUGUGGUGACGGUACCUGCAGAAGAAGCACCGGCUAACUACGUG
rnacentral:rRNA from 1 species